rnacentral:rRNA from 1 species
AUACGUAGGGUGCAAGCGUUAAUCGGAAUUACUGGGCGUAAAGCGUGCGCAGGCGGUUUUGUAAGACAGAGGUGAAAUCCCCGGGCUCAACCUGGGAACUGCCAUUGUGACUGCAAGGCUGGAGGGCGGCAGAGGGGGAUGGAAUUCCGCGGGUAGCAGUGAAAUGCGUAGAUAUGCGGAGGAACACCGAUGGCGAAGGCAAUCCCCUGGGCCUGCACUGACGCUCAUGCACGAAAGCGUGGGGAGCAAACAGGAUUAGAUACCCUGGUAGUCCACGCCCUAAACGAUGUCAACUGGUUGUUGGGGAUUUAUUUUCUCAGUAACGAAGCUAACGCGUGAAGUUGACCGCCUGGGGAGUACGGCCGCAAGGUUAAAACUCAAAGGAAUUGACGGGG